CACAUUGUCCCUGGGGAAAGAGAGGUGCAGAACCCUUCACUAAUGGCCUGGAAUGUCAAACAGCAAUCACAGCCAUGGACAGCUCUCGGGAACCACUGCACCAUGGAUUUUCCAUCCUGGAAGGCCAAGAUUGAGAGUGUCCUGCUGGUGCCUCAGGGCCUGGCUGAACAGGGCUUGUCAGAGAUCUGGCAGGGAGGAGUCCCGGCAGGGAUAAAGGUGCUCCUCACCUGCUGCAGCCUCACCCAGCGCUGCCCAGAGCGAGAGGAAGAUGAAGGUGGCUGUGCUCAGCGUGGCCCUGCUCUUCUCCAUCCUGCUGUGCUCCCCGGCUCAGGCCCAGGCACCCCCGGAAGAAACCCAAGAUGAUCUCCUGGAG
rnacentral:lncRNA from 1 species